GUACGCGAUCAUACCAGCACUAAUACACUGUAUCCCAUCAUAAUUCCGUAGUUAAACGCGUUCGGGCGAGAGUAAAACUAGGAUGAGUGACCUCCCGGGAAGUCCUCGUUCUGCAUCCGUC
rnacentral:rRNA from 1 species